UACGGAGGGUGCGAGCGUUGUCCGGAAUCAUUGGGCGUAAAGGGCGCGUAGGUGGCUUCUUAAGCGUGCGGUGAAAGCCUGGGGCUCAACCCCGGGUCGGCCGUGCGAACUGGGGGGCUGGAGCACUGUAGAGGCAGGCGGAAUUCCGGGUGUGAGCGGUGGAAUGCGUAGAGAUCCGGAAGAACACCGGUGGCGAAGGCGGCUCACUGGCCCGAUACUGACGCUGAGGUGCGAAAGCGUGGG
rnacentral:rRNA from 1 species